rnacentral:rRNA from 2 species
UUAAGCGACUAAGCGUACACGGUGGAUGCCCUGGCAGUCAGAGGCGAUGAAGGACGUGCUAAUCUGCGAAAAGCGUCGGUAAGGUGAUAUGAACCGUUAUAACCGGCGAUGUCCGAAUGGGGAAACCCAGUGUGAUUCGUCACACUAUCGUUAACUGAAUACAUAGGUUAACGAGGCGAACCGGGGGAACUGAAACAUCUAAGUACCCCGAGGAAAAGAAAUCAACCGAGAUUCCCCCAGUAGCGGCGAGCGAACGGGGAGCAGCCCAGAGUCUGAAUCAGCUUGUGUGUUAGUGGAACGGUCUGGAAAGUCCGACGGUACAGGGUGAUAGUCCCGUACACCAAAAUGCACAGGUUGUGAACUCGAAGAGUAGGGCGGGACACGUGGUAUCCUGUCUGAAUAUGGGGGGACCAUCCUCCAAGGCUAAAUACUCCUGACUGACCGAUAGUGAACCAGUACCGUGAGGGAAAGGCGAAAAGAACCCCGGCGAGGGGAGUGAAAAAGAACCUGAAACCGUGUACGUACAAGCAGUGGGAGCACCUUCGGGUGUGACUGCGUACCUUUUGUAUAAUGGGUCAGCGACUUAUAUUCUGUAGCAAGGUUAACCGUAUAGGGGAGCCGCAGGGAAACCGAGUCUUAACUGGGCGUUAAGUUGCAGGGUAUAGACCCGAAACCCGGUGAUCUAGCCAUGGGCAGGUUGAAGGUUGGGUAACACUAACUGGAGGACCGAACCGACUAAUGUUGAAAAAUUAGCGGAUGACUUGUGGCUGGGGGUGAAAGGCCAAUCAAACCGGGAGAUAGCUGGUUCUCCCCGAAAGCUAUUUAGGUAGCGCCUCGUGAACUCAUCUUCGGGGGUAGAGCACUGUUUCGGCUAGGGGGUCAUCCCGACUUACCAACCCGAUGCAAACUACGAAUACCGAAGAAUGUUAUCACGGGAGACACACGGCGGGUGCUAACGUCCGUCGUGAAGAGGGAAACAACCCAGACCGCCAGCUAAGGUCCCAAAGUCAUGGUUAAGUGGGAAACGAUGUGGGAAGGCACAGACAGCCAGGAUGUUGGCUUAGAAGCAGCCAUCAUUUAAAGAAAGCGUAAUAGCUCACUGGUCGAGUCGGCCUGCGCGGAAGAUGUAACGGGGCUAAACCAUGCACCGAAGCUGCGGCAGCGACACUAUGUGUUGUUGGGUAGGGGAGCGUUCUGUAAGCCUGCGAAGGUGUGCUGUGAGGCAUGCUGGAGGUAUCAGAAGUGCGAAUGCUGACAUAAGUAACGAUAAAGCGGGUGAAAAGCCCGCUCGCCGGAAGACCAAGGGUUCCUGUCCAACGUUAAUCGGGGCAGGGUGAGUCGACCCCUAAGGCGAGGCCGAAAGGCGUAGUCGAUGGGAAACAGGUUAAUAUUCCUGUACUUGGUGUUACUGCGAAGGGGGGACGGAGAAGGCUAUGUUAGCCGGGCGACGGUUGUCCCGGUUUAAGCAUGUAGGCUGGUUAUCCAGGCAAAUCCGGAUAAUCAAGGCUGAGGUGUGAUGACGAGGCACUACGGUGCUGAAGUAACAAAUGCCCUGCUUCCAGGAAAAGCCUCUAAGCAUCAGGUAACAUUAAAUCGUACCCCAAACCGACACAGGUGGUCAGGUAGAGAAUACCAAGGCGCUUGAGAGAACUCGGGUGAAGGAACUAGGCAAAAUGGUGCCGUAACUUCGGGAGAAGGCACGCUGGUGUGUAGGUGAAGUCCCUGCGGAUGGAGCUGAGACCAGUCGAAGAUACCAGCUGGCUGCAACUGUUUAUUAAAAACACAGCACUGUGCAAACACGAAAGUGGACGUAUACGGUGUGACGCCUGCCCGGUGCCGGAAGGUUAAUUGAUGGGGUUAUCCGUAAGGAGAAGCUCUUGAUCGAAGCCCCGGUAAACGGCGGCCGUAACUAUAACGGUCCUAAGGUAGCGAAAUUCCUUGUCGGGUAAGUUCCGACCUGCACGAAUGGCGUAAUGAUGGCCAGGCUGUCUCCACCCGAGACUCAGUGAAAUUGAACUCGCUGUGAAGAUGCAGUGUACCCGCGGCAAGACGGAAAGACCCCGUGAACCUUUACUAUAGCUUGACACUGAACAUUGAGCCUUGAUGUGUAGGAUAGGUGGGAGGCUUUGAAGCGUGGACGCCAGUCUGCGUGGAGCCAACCUUGAAAUACCACCCUUUAAUGUUUGAUGUUCUAACGUUGGCCCCUGACCGGGGUUGCGGACAGUGUCUGGUGGGUAGUUUGACUGGGGCGGUCUCCUCCCAAAGCGUAACGGAGGAGCACGAAGGUUAGCUAAUCCUGGUCGGACAUCAGGAGGUUAGUGCAAUGGCAUAAGCUAGCUUGACUGCGAGCGUGACGGCGCGAGCAGGUGCGAAAGCAGGUCAUAGUGAUCCGGUGGUUCUGAAUGGAAGGGCCAUCGCUCAACGGAUAAAAGGUACUCCGGGGAUAACAGGCUGAUACCGCCCAAGAGUUCAUAUCGACGGCGGUGUUUGGCACCUCGAUGUCGGCUCAUCACAUCCUGGGGCUGAAGUAGGUCCCAAGGGUAUGGCUGUUCGCCAUUUAAAGUGGUACGCGAGCUGGGUUUAGAACGUCGUGAGACAGUUCGGUCCCUAUCUGCCGUGGGCGCUGGAGAAUUGAGGGGGGCUGCUCCUAGUACGAGAGGACCGGAGUGGACGCAUCACUGGUGUUCGGGUUGUCAUGCCAAUGGCACUGCCCGGUAGCUAAAUGCGGAAGAGAUAAGUGCUGAAAGCAUCUAAGCACGAAACUUGCCCCGAGAUGAGUUCUCCCUGAGACUUUAAGUCUCCUGAAGGAACGUUAAAGACGAUGACGUUGAUAGGCCGGGUGUGUAAGCGCAGCGAUGCGUUGAGCUAACCGGUACUAAUGAACCGUGAGGCUUAACCUU